UACGGGGGGGGCAAGCGUUGUUCGGAAUUACUGGGCGUAAAGGGUUCGUAGGUGGCUUGCUAAGUCAGACGUGAAAUCCCCGGGCUCAACCUGGGAACUGCAUCCGAGACUGCAUUGCUAGAGUAUGGGAGAGGGAAGCGGAAUUUCUGGUGUAGCAGUGAAAUGCGUAGAUAUCAGAAGGAACAUCAGUGGCGAAGGCGGCUUCCUGGACCAAUACUGACGAUCAGGUGCGAAAGCGUGGGGAGCAAACAGG
rnacentral:rRNA from 1 species